UUACGCAUUUUAUCAAUCAGAAUUUCAUGAUUUAUGGAGUCAAAGGCCUUUCUAACAUCAAGAAGUCUUUCUUGAUGUUAGAAAAGCCUUUGACUCCAUAAAUCAUGAAAUAUACAAUCUAUUUGA